CUACGGGAGGCAGCAGUAGGGAAUUUUCGGCAAUGGGGGAAACCCUGACCGAGCAAUGCCGCGUGAAUGAAGAAGGCCUUCGGGUUGUAAAGUUCUGUUAAUGGGAAAGAAUGGUUGGUGUGGGAAAUGACACUAAUUUGACGGUACCCGUUUAGAAAGCCCCGGCUAACUACGUGCCAGCAGCCGCGGUAAUACGUAGGGGGCGAGCGUUAUCCGGAAUUCUUGGGCGUAAAGAGUGCGGAGGCGGUUUAUUAAGUCAGUCGUAAAAGAUCUCAGCCUAACUGAGUAGGGCGAUUGAAACUGGUAGACUUGAGUAUGGUAGAGGUAGGUGGAAUUCCAUGUGUAGCGGUGGAAUGCGUAGAUAUAUGGAGGAACACCAAUGGCGAAGGCAGCUUACUGGGCCAGAACUGACGCUGAGGCACGAAAGCGUGGGGAGCAAACAGGAUUAGAACCCCCGUAGUC
rnacentral:rRNA from 1 species